UACGGAGGAUGCAAGCGUUAUCCGGAAUGAUUGGGCGUAAAGCGUCCGCAGGUGGCUAUGUAAGUCUGUUGUUAGAGAGUGAGGCUCAACCUCAUAAGAGCAGUGGAAACUACAUAGCUAGAGUGCGUUCGGGGCAGAGGGAAUUCCUGGUGUAGCGGUGAAAUGCGUAGAUAUCAGGAAGAACACCGGUGGCGAAAGCGCUCUGCUAGGCCGCAACUGACACUGAGGGACGAAAGCUAGGGGAGCGAAUGGG
rnacentral:rRNA from 1 species